GAUUUGAUCACCAUAGCUAAGUUGAUUGAUUUAACAAAGCUCUGUGUUCCUCAAACAAUGGAAAAAAAAAGAAAAAAAUGUAAAAGGAGAAAGGAACCAAAACAAAGUUGAAGAAAAAAAGGAAUCAUGAAGAAAAUAGAGGAUAUUGAAAGGGAGAUUGAGAGAAAAUAGAAAAAGUAGAGAGUAUUUAGGGGUUUAGAUUUGAAAAUACGAGAAGGAAAUAAAAGGAAUGGUGUAUUUAGGGUGUUGGGAGGCUU
rnacentral:lncRNA from 1 species